rnacentral:rRNA from 1 species
UACGUAGGGUGCAAGCGUUGUCCGGAAUUAUUGGGCGUAAAGAGCUCGUAGGCGGUCUGUCGCGUCGGAUGUGAAAACCCAGGGCUCAACCCUGGGCCUGCAUUCGAUACGGGCAGACUAGAGUGCGGUAGGGGAGAUUGGAAUUCCUGGUGUAGCGGUGGAAUGCGCAGAUAUCAGGAGGAACACCGAUGGCGAAGGCAGAUCUCUGGGCCGUAACUGACGCUGAGGAGCGAAAGCGUGGGGAGCGAACAGG